rnacentral:tRNA from 1 species
UUGGUUGAAGCCAAAAAGGAGGCAUUUUAAUGUUAAUAAAAGAAUUGAAUUAUAUUCCAACUAAA